UACAGAGGUCUCAAGCGUUGUUCGGAUUCAUUGGGCGUAAAGGGUGCGUAGGCGGUUUGGUAAGUCUUGUGUGAAAUCUUCGGGCUCAACUCGAAGUCUGCAUGAGAAACUGCCGGGCUUGAGUGUGGGAGAGGAGAGUGGAAUUCCUGGUGUAGCGGUGAAAUGCGCAGAUAUCAGGAAGAACACCCGUGGCGAAAGCGGCUCUCUGGAACGGUACUGACGCUGAGACGCGAAAGCGUGGGGAGCGAACAGG
rnacentral:rRNA from 1 species